rnacentral:lncRNA from 1 species
UUAACAAAUUUUACUAAGGUUUAUUACUAAUUAAAUACCUAUUAGCAUAUAUAAUUCAUAACCACAUCACAAUUUACUUCAUUUCCAAACCAAAAUAUAUAUCUAGGUUGAUUAUUUAAACAAAACAUCAUUCAUAACAUGUAUACAAACCAACUUUGAUCUAAUCCACAUCAAUCCCUAUACAUGCCAUAUAAACCAUGUUGAACGCUUCAAAAACUACCGGAACAAGCUGGAUAGUCUGUCUUGAUGUGCUCAUCUGAUCUUCCGACCUCACGAAAAUCUACAAAGACAUUAAACAAUACAAGUAAGCUUAAUGAAGCUUAGUAAGUUCGAUAGGUUAAACAUAAAUCUUACUGAACCUACCAUAACACAUCAAUUAAAUAAAUUCAUUCAAUGUAAACUCCCUGCCAAUCACAACUUCAAUCGAUGAAUACACUUAUUUCAGAUCAAUACCGAUAACAAAUAAUAUGUCCUUCAAUUUCAAUUACAUAUAUUCACUUACCAAAUCUUCCCAAAUUGAAGAACGGCUUACGAAUAAAAGUACAUCAUUUUUAGAAGCCCGAUGGCUAAACAGAAGCUCAUGAGAGCUAAACAGAAACCCAUAAGGGUUGAACGGAAGCUUGUAAGCGCUAAACAGAAACCUGUAAGAGUUAAACAGAAGCUCAAUAAAGCUGAACGGAAACUCAUAUGAGUUAAACAGAAGCUCGUAAGAGCUAAACGAAAAGUAAACACGAAAGUUCACAACAUAUGCUGAACCUCAGUUUACUUGGGUAAUUUGCUGUCAUUUUCCUCCAAUGUCGUCAAUUCACCGAAUGCCAAAUGUACUCAAAUCUCGCGUUUCAUUUAAUCCGAAUAUCCAAUUUAAUUUUAUAACUUUAACAAUAUUUCAUUUUCAACAAUAGAAUAAAUACAUAAUACCAUUCAUCAAAUCAAUAUAAAUAUUAAAUUUUAACCAUACGAACUUACCUGGAUUGAAUUGUAAUAUUUACAGAAGUUUAGGGACUAUUACGCUAAUUUUCCUUUUCACAAGUAUCUAUGGGUUCUUGAUCUAAAAUAUAAAAUUAUUCAUUCAUUAGUACAUAUUUCAGUUCCAAUUCACUUCACAAUUAAUACCCUUCAAUUAUUUAAAUUUACACAAUUACCCCAAACUUUUACAACUUUUACAAUUUAGUCCCUUAACUAGUUAAUCUAUCAAUUGAACUAAUUUUUCUCAAUUAAUAAUUUAUUCAAAUAUUCUAAGCUACCAUACAGGCCUUGAUAAAACAGAAAUUUAAUACCAACGCUAAUUUUUUAACUUCUUCACAAUUUGACCCUAAAAUCAAUAUUUAACAAAAUCACUUUAUAAAAUCAUUAUAUAACAAAAUUAAAGCUCUAAAUCUAUGUUUAUUCAUCUAAAACAUCUUAUAUUCAUCAAUGGUAACUUCCAAAAUUUUCAAUAAAAUCAAAAACUAAGGUAAUAUUAAGUUGGACUUAAUUAUAAAAGUCUCAAAAACAUAAAAAUUACAAAAAAAAAAUGGCAUUAGACUUACAUGCAGCAAAAAUAUACAAAACCAGUUGAAAC